rnacentral:lncRNA from 1 species
GUGCCUGUGAUGCACCUCCCCUUCGGAUUGGAGGAAGAAGCUGUGUCCCUCCCAUCAAACAGAGGGUCUCCUUAAAGAUUCUCCUGGUCUCCAGCUUGGGCUCUGCUGGAAAGAAGAGGAAGUAUUUAGCAAGGAUGAAGAUGGGUUCUUACUUCCCUGAGGCAGCCAGAGAUAAGAAAAGACCAGAAUAUGAAUAUCCAGCAUUCCACAAAGAAUCCUACAGGCAGGGAUAUUGCCCAAUCACCAGUGCCUCGCAUCCCAGUUCUAUCCAAGAUCCAAGCUUGAUAUCCUCCUGAAAGACUUCCUGAAUCAGGUCACCAACAUGGACAUCUGAACUUCCAGAAUCAGGUCACCAUCUUUCUUCUCAUCUCUGGAUGUAUUUGGAGCUCAUUUGUCUGACGGUUUUUGAAUGCUAUUUUUUUUUAAAUAAACUUUUACAAUUUGGGUUUAA